GCUGGGCACAGUGACACAUGCCUGUAAUCCCAGAUACUCAGGCAGCAGAGGCAGGAGGAUCACAAGUUCAAAGCCAGCCUGGGCAACUUAGGGAGAUCCUGUCUCAA
rnacentral:sRNA from 1 species